GGGGGCGAUUUGGCUUCGACAGGAGUGAAGGAGGUAGAGGCGCGAGCCGAGUGCCAGCAUCUCGUUAAACAGUUGGAAAACUAACCAAACGCCGAUACCAAUCUGGCGCUGGCUGCUUAAGGCGGUCACGUCCCCCGGGUGAGGCCUGCGGCCCCGGGUAGGGCGACGUUAGCAGGAUAGUCCCGGCAUCGGAGUUCCGACGGAGCCGGGGUGAAACUUAAUGGAACUGGCGCCGGCGAGGCAGCCUGUGAGCCGGACCGGGGUGAGAAUAAACCACAGGAUACGCUCGUAGAAGCCUCUAGCGAAACUCUUCUGGACGCGGGUUCAACUCCCGCCGCCUCCACCA
rnacentral:tmRNA from 1 species